CUGCGGGGUGGGGGCGGGCGGGGGCGGGAGCCGUGAGCCCGGCUGCCGCGAGGGACAGGGCCGAAGGACUGGCGGUGGCGAUACCCGAGGACGUGGGUCUGCACGUGCGUGUGGUUUGCCUGCAAGCUCCUUUAGGGUCCUUAGCCUUGGAGCCUUGCAAAGCUGAGUCAAAGACUAGGGCACUGCCUGGACCGUCUCCUCAUCUGCACCGUUUAUCUCGUGACCUUGAUGCAUGUGGAAAGCCAUUGCCAACAGCGUGAUCCUAACUAACUGCAAGGAGCCAAGGGCUGAGUCUAACCAUUUGGAAUGAAAAUGACCCGGUGUAGCCAUCACCGGUUGCCUGGCGCGCAGGGGCUGGGGUAGGAGG
rnacentral:lncRNA from 1 species